rnacentral:rRNA from 1 species
GAGGGGGGGGACAAGGCUCAAAUUUUAAAUCUGUUGGGUUUACCUAACCGAGUUGUAAUUUGAAGAGGCGUUUUCUGUGUUUUUGAUCAGCCCAAGUCCUUUGGGAUAAGGCAUCAUGGAGGGUGAGAAUCCCGUCCGGUUGAUCAGAUUCGCUUUACGAUACGUCAUCUAAGAGUCAAGUUGUUUGGGAUUGCAGCUUAAAAUGGGAGGUAAAUUUCUCCUAAGGCUAAAUAACGGCGAGAGACCGAUAGCGAACAAGUACCGUGAGGGAAAGAUGAAAAGAACUUUGAAAAGAGAGUUAAACAGUACGUGAAAUUGUUGAAAGGGAAACGAUUGAAGCCAGUCAUACCGGCGGAUAAUCAGCCUUUCGGGUGCGAUUCUGUGGAGUGUGAGGAGUUAAACGCCUUCAUGCCUGCAUAUUCGUGCACCUUGGGUGUACUUGCCCGUGUGGUAAGUUAACAUCAAUUUUGAUCGUCAUAAAAUGGCUGGAGGAAUGUAGCUUCGGUCUCGUACUGAAGUGUUAUAGCCUCCGGUAGAUGUGAUGAUCGGGAAUUGAGGAUUGCAACGGAUAC